rnacentral:rRNA from 1 species
UACAGAGGUCCCGAGCGUUGUUCGGAUUUACUGGGCGUAAAGGGUGCGUAGGUGGCAGGGUAAGUUCGGUGUGAAAGCUUCGAGCUCAACUCGGAAACGGCAUUGAAUACUAUCCUGCUUGAGGAUCGGAGGGGAGACUGGAAUUCUCGGUGUAGCAGUGAAAUGCGUAGAUAUCGAGAGGAACACCAGUGGCGAAGGCGGGUCUCUGGACGAUUCCUGACACUGAGGCACGAAAGCUAGGGGAGCAAAC